rnacentral:rRNA from 1 species
AAUCAACGCUGGCGGCGUGCCUCAGACAUGCAAGUCGAACGAUUAAAGCUCUCUUCGGAGAGUGCAUAAAGUGGCGCACGGGGUGAGUAACACGUAAGUAAUCUACCUUCGAGUGGGGAAUAACGUCCGGAAACGGACGCUAAUACCGCAUAACGCAGCGGCAUCGCAAAGAUGACAGUUGUUAAAGAUUUAUCGCUUGAAGAGGAGCUUGCGGCAGAUAGCUUGUUGGUAAGGUAACGGCUUACCAAGGCUACGAUCUGUAUCCGGUCUAAGAGGACGGUCGGACACACUGACACUGAAUAACGGGUCAGAC